rnacentral:misc_RNA from 1 species
AACCUAGCACACCUGCGGUGUGUACCUGCGGAAGGAUCAUUAUAGAGUUUUCUAAACUCCCAAACCCAUGUGAACUUACCAUUGUUGCCUCGGCAGAACCUACCCGGUACCUACCCUGGAACUAGCUACCCUGUAGCUACCCAGGAACGGGCUACCCUGUAACGUCCUGCCGGUGGACUUCUAAACUCUUGUUAUUUAUAGUAAUCUGAGCGUCUUAUUUUAAUAAGUCAAAACUUUCAA